rnacentral:lncRNA from 1 species
AUGCAAAAAAUGAUAUCCCCAUUGCAUGAGAGUGUUUCUCUAGAAUUGGGUCCAGCCUUGCAUAUAAGGCACAUAAUUUUUCCUCUCCCAGGCGUUGUGGAAUUGGACACCACUAUUUUGAUACCUGACAUGUAUUUCAGCACAGUUCCUGUCUUUCUAUUUUGUCCAACUUGAUACCAAAUUGAUUUCCAGCCAAUAUGCUACGUAUAAGAGCAUCUCUAGGAGCAGCGCUACUCCCGUAUCCCUAGCUAUUUUAGCGAAAAAGAAGGAAAAACUGCCUUCCAGCAGAGUCGCUAUCUCUCUCGCCAUUUUGGAGAUCGCUAUUUUAGCUCGCCACAUGUAG